UAAACAUUGACAGUUAAUCACACCCACUGUCCGCCUGGGAACUACGAGCACCAGCUUAAAACCCAAAGGACUUGGCGGUGCUUUAGACCCACCUAGAGGAGCCUGUUCUAGAACCGAUAUUCCCCGUUAAACCUCACCCUUCCUUGUCAUUUCCGCCUAUAUACCACCGUCGCCAGCUUACCCUGUGAAGGCCCUAUAGUAAGCACAAUCGGUAAAACCCAGAACGUCAGGUCGAGGUGUAGCGAAUGGAAGGGGAAGAAAUGGGCUACAUUUACUGAUACAGUAAAUACGGAUGAUCACCCUGCAACGAGUAUCUGAAGGAGGAUUUAGCAGUAAGCAAAAAAUAGAGUGUUUUGCUGAAAUUGGC
rnacentral:rRNA from 1 species